rnacentral:rRNA from 1 species
GACGAACGCUGGCGGCGUGCUUAACACAUGCAAGUCGAACGGAAAGGCCCUGCUUUUGUGGGGUGCUCGAGUGGCGAACGGGUGAGUAACACGUGAGUAACCUGCCCUUGACUUUGGGAUAACUUCAGGAAACUGGGGCUAAUACCGGAUAGGAGCUCCUGCUGCAUGGUGGGUGUUGGAAAGUUUCGGCGGUUGGGGAUGGACUCGCGGCUUAUCAGCUUGUUGGUGGGGUUGUGGCUUACCAAGGAUUUGACGGGUAGCCGGCCUGAGAGGGUGACCGGCCACAUUGGGACUGAGAUACGGCCCAGACUCCUACGGGAGGCAGCAGUGGGGAAGAGUGCACAAUGGGCGGAAGCCUGAUGCAGAAACGCCGCGUGCGGGAUGACGGCCUUCGGGUUGUAAACCGCUUUAGACUGUGACGAAGCGUGAGUGACGGUAAUGGGUAAAGAAGCACCGGCUAACUACGUG